rnacentral:tRNA from 1 species
GGAGGGGUGCGCCGAAUUGGCAAGGCACAUGCCUGGAGAGCAUGGUCCCCGAAAGGGGAUUGUGGGUUCGAGUCCCACCCCCUCCG